rnacentral:rRNA from 1 species
CCUACGGGGGGCAGCAGUGAGGAAUAUUGGUCAAUGGGCGGGAGCCUGAACCAGCCAAGCCGCGUGAGGGAAGAAGGUACAGCGUAUUGUAAACCUCUUUUGUCAGGGGACAAAGGCGGCGACGGGUGCCCGUAAGAGGGUACCUGAAGAAAAAGCAUCGGCUAACUCCGUGCCAGCAGCCGCGGUAAUACGGAGGAUGCGAGCGUUAUCCGGAUUUAUUGGGUUUAAAGGGUGCGCAGGCGGCGUGUCAAGUCAGCGGUAAAAGGCCGGGGCUCAACCCCGGCGAGCCGUUGAAACUGGCGGGCUGGAGUUGGAGAGAAGUACGCGGAAUGCGUGGUGUAGCGGUGAAAUGCUUAGAUAUCGCGCAGAACCCCGAUUGCGAAGGCAGCGUACCGGCUCCACACUGACGCUGAGGCACGAAAGCGUGGGUAUCGAACAGGAUUAGAUACCCGAGUAGUC